CCAUAGAAAAAGAAGAAGAUUUCUUUGAUGAAAUGGAUGAAAACAGCCAUGAUGAUGGUGGUGUUGCCGAUGAUGAUGCUCUUGAUGAGUAUGAGAUGCUCACUAAGGUAACUGAUACAUCAGCUGCACAAGCAAGGAAGGGAAAAGACAUUCAGGGUAUUCAGUAGGAUAGAUUGAACAUAUCAAGAGAUAGUUACAGAGUUACAAGGCUUGAACAGUAUAAGAAUUAUGAGAAUAUUCUUGCUUCUGGGGAUGCUAUAAAUGAGGUUUCUUUUUUUUUAAUAUUUUUUGUUUUAUCAAACCCUUUUCCUUUGGGAUUAUGGGGGGCAGGGAAAGAUGCAGAAGUAAAUUUUGUUUCUUUGUCUCUCAAGAUUGCAAAAGGUCUGUGAAGGGUGGAAAAUACUAUGACUUUUUCUAUAAUACAAGAAUGGUUAAACCUACCAUCCUUCAUUUUUAGUUGAGAAACUUAGUAUGGGCUACUUCAAAACACGAUGUCUACCUUAUCUCCAAUUACUCGGUCAUGCAUUGGUCAUCAUUAAGUGGCGAUUUGUUGGAGAUAAUAAAUUUUGCUGGACACGUAGCCCUAAGUGAGAAACAUGCUGGAAGUUUGUUGGAAGGAUU